rnacentral:rRNA from 1 species
CCUACGGGUGGCAGCAGUGGGGAAUAUUGCACAAUGGGGGAAACCCUGAACCAGCCAAGCCGCGUGAAGGAAGAAGGACUUUGGUAUUUUAAACUCCUUUUGUCGGGGAGAAAACCACGGUCCGUGCCUAACAAAUCACGGCUAACUACGUGCCAGCAGCCGCGGUACGACGUAGGGGGCAGGCGUUAUUCGGAUUUACGGGGUGUAAAGGGAGCGUAGGCGGGAAUGAAAGCCCGUUGUGAAAGCACCGGGCGCAACCCGGGGACUGCAUUUGAAACUGUAGUGCUUGAGUACAGGAGAGGUAGGUGGAAUUCCUAGUGUAGCGGUGAAAUGCGUAGAUAUUAGGAGGAACACCAGUGGCGAAGGCGGCUUGCUGGACUGUAAAUGACGCUGAGGCGCGAAAGCGUGGGGAGCAAACAGGAUUAGAUACCCUAGUAGUC